GUGUUGUUCACUAAAUCAACACGUGUGCUAAAUUUGGAAGGACACAGAGAAGAUUCUUCCUGGCCCUGCCCAAAGAUGACGUGCUAACUUGUGAAACAUUCCACUUAAAA
ensembl:snRNA U6 U6 spliceosomal RNA